GAUGGCUACAUAGGAAGUAGUUAUGACGUCACUACAGGUGCCUUCUCGGGCCGCAGGGUGGGGCGCGGCAAAGUCCGGCUCCAUUCUCCAGGGGCGUGGCUUCUGACAGUCUGGCCACGCCCCUCGAGUGGCCGCUGAGAAAAACCUCAGGUUGCGGAAGGUUAAACUCUUGGCGAAGGAGGAAAAAUAUUGUCAAAUAUUUUUCCUGGCUUUUUAACGGAUUCUUGGACGCUCUCUUCGAGCCGGAUCGAAUCCUCCUCUCUUAGGUUUGAUGUUUCCUAGCGGUGUGGGUCAUGUAAUUCUUGUACAAAUGAGAAAACAGGCUUGAACACUAGAAAGGCUGGUUCAAAACCAUGUGAGAGUCGGGGAAUUGGAGCGGAGUUAAUGCCCGCUCUGGGUGAGCUUACAUAUAUUUGUUAUAUUAAUAGGCUGCAGGUCAAGACAUCCACCUUUGUCUUGUACUCACUGUAGAUAGUGGUGUAAUUAAAAGUCUGCAGGCCUUCAGAAAAAAACAUGACCCCUCUCAUGACUGAGCCAAAUGUCAUCUGUUGAAGCCUUUUUUUUUUUUUAAAUCAUUUUACGGUGGAAGAACGUUGGAGACAGUAGCUCUGGUUUUGUGCCUAACUACGUUACAUAAGCUAUUUCAAUCUCUGGGGAAAAGAAGUUCAGAAAAUUCUGGAGAAAACCUAUUGAAAAGGGAAACAGCAAGAACCCUCUGCCCUCCCAGCCAGACCGGCCUUCAAAGCAACCCUGAAUUCCUGCAUCAGUGGUGAAUGGCCUGGUGGCAGGGUUCUUCCCAGUUGAUCAUUGGAAAAAAUUCUGGAAGCAGUGAAGGAAUGGGUGCUGGGUCAGAAAGAUGCUAAUGUGGACACUGAGAGGAGCCCAGGGGAAAGAGGAUGUGCACCAGGCAGUGUGUGUGUGUGCUUCGCUGCAUCUUGUUAUCCAUCUUCUUCAUAGAGAGGGAGAAAGGGAGGCUCAGAGGUUUGUCCAGGGUUAUACAGCCCAGAGUGUGGAGCAGGGAUUUGAGUCCAUGUGCGUCUGAUUCCAAAGCUACAUGGAAUUCAGUACUGUGUGAAGUAUAUUUAGUAAUCCUAACACUUAAAAAUGUUCCGUGGCAGCCACUGUCGUAAGCACGUAAUGUACAUGAAUUUAUUAAACACAACUGCCAGGUGAGGUAGUUGACCUCAUUUUACAUUUGAAGAAUCAGGCACACAACAGUAAAGGAAUGUACCUAAAUAAAGAAUGGACCUGGGGUUGAAAACCAAGCAAUCUGACCCUAGACUCCAUAAUUUUAGAUUGCUGUGCCAUUUCUCAUGUACAAUAAAUACUUUUUUAAAAUUAAGUUUGUUAAAAAAAUAAAUAAAAAAUAAAAUUAAGUUUGUUGGUAUAAUUUAGGUAUACGUAAUGAUCAU